GCAGCAGCAGCAGCAGCAGCAGCAGCAGCAACUGGAUUUGCUUUUUCACCAGAGGAUCCAGAUUUCCCUGUGGCCUUGCAAACAAAAAAGAAGGAAGACGGAGCAGCACAGUCAUCCCUUUGUGAAAAAAGCAUUCAGAGACGGGGUUUCACCGUGUUAGCCAGGAUGGUCUCGAUCUCCUGACCUCGCGAUCCGCCCGCCUCGGCCUCCCAAAGUGCUGGGAUUACAGGCGUGAGCCACCGCGCCCGGCCUCAGCUGGUUUUUCAAAAGUCAUGGCGUGUAAUUGUCAGAACAGUGAACUUCGGAGAUCCACCGGAGGGGCGAGGCCACAGCUCGACCGCGAGCACCUGAGCAUCCUGCACCGCCUGCGACGGCCGUCAGGGGGCGCGAUGCCGCCUCACAGAACCUCAAGCGGCGCCCGGGUUCCGGCACAGACGGCCUGCGGCUCCAGGGGGCGGAGCCGAGCCGUCUCCUCAGGACCUACGCAAGAGGCGCCGUCAUCCCUACAGGGACACCUGAGAGGGCCCAGCCUCCUCCUCCUCAGGACCCACUCGGGAGACGCCGCUGGCUCUCUAGGAACACCUGGGGACCGUGGCCAGGGACGACCCAGCCUCCUUCUCCUCAGCUCCUCAGGAACGACUGGGGAAGCUGUGGCUUCAUGGUCCCCGAGGCUGCCCGAGGAAAGACAGAGUCUCA
rnacentral:lncRNA from 1 species